rnacentral:lncRNA from 1 species
GGUCUCUUUGUGCACCCGCCCACACGGUUUGCCGUGUUUUCACCCUUCUUUGUUCUCCACCGGUCUGGGCAGGGUCUGAGGACUCCGGAGAGCAAGGCAUGGGUCCGCCUCGUGCCGCAGGUUCCUGGCCCACGCCAGCCGUACCCAGUAGCACAAUGGGAUUUGAGGACACACGCCAGCUGCCUACACCUGAAGAAAGGGUGAGCUCUGAGGACUUCACAGGGGCCCCAUCCCCUCACCUAGAUGAGGGCUAACCUUGGAAUCCAGACAAAGGUGGAAGUGACCUAGAUGUGACCUGAAUGAGCUAAUCAUCUAAUGAGAGCCAGCCCUUUGUCCUGCCCACAUGAAGGUGGGUGGUUAGCUCACUUUUCAGGGUAAUAAAGCAGUAAAGGCGGGGUGGAGGGGUUGUUGAAGGCUUUGUAUGAUGUCACUAGGGCCUGUAAAGUUAGCACAAUGAACCCGCUGUGCAGAUUGUAAAGCUGACCUUGUUGGAAUAUCCUGGUUUUAGAAACACAUAAAUCAGCUUUGUGUUUGCUGUUCCCCUGCUGAAAAUGUUCUUCUGAAUUUUCAGGGCUUUGCUGCUACGCACUGACAAGUUGGACGGCUUUUUAUUGCUUUGUUGCCAGUUAUCUGAACAUGAGAGGCUGUAAGGUGUAAUCUGCGAGCCCUGCGCCCAGACUGAACCAGGGCCUCCCUUGAACAUGAGUAUUAGACAAAUGAAAUAAGAACUUAUCUUGCCCAGACUAUAUAAUGGCUUGGAAAUGCAUAGUUUCCUGAACGAUCUCAAUAAAAUACUUUUAAAAGUACUUAAA